ensembl:lncRNA
CCCCUCCCAACCCCGAUUCAGUGUCAUUUCUGUCAUGCAUUUCCUGUGCAAACAAAAUAUGAGGUAGGCCUACAAACGGACAUGAGAGUGGCAUAACGUCAGCCGCAGAUCUAUGAUACCGGAGGAACUGCGUCGUUCCGUCGCAGGGCCGCGGCGAUCCCGUCAUCCAUCAGUGCAUGGAUUUUAACGAAAGAGCGAUGGCCUGACGUCCGGUGUUUACGCCGCUCGUUUCAGCUUUCCACUAACUCUCACCGACUUUAAAUGAAAGCUCAUUUUCACAGACAGCUCAACAUGUCUUUCUGUCAAGAGCCGCAUAUGAGAUUGAACCAGGGAUGACUCGGAAAACAUCCCCUGAUGAUAUGAGGAGACCGAAAACAAAAGAUUUACAGCAAGUCAACAGUGCUGAUGAAUAUUUCACAUAAACGAGCAUAAAAUGAAGUUAUUGACACACAACCAGGGCUUCCAUCUGAACUGGCAGCCAACUCGAAACAAAAUGAUAAAAGUUUAAAGAAUCGGCAUCAAUAUCUCAGCUCGUCUCCAUUCCUCUGGAGGAAGCCUGGCUGGCUUUGAAGCGUAGCGUUUGUCAAUAGUCAAACAUCUUUAUUUAUGGACGCUCUUCAGAAGGCCUGUCAGAUGGGAUAUUUUGGUGCUGAACGGCACUAAAUCUUUCGGGGGACACGGUCCUGAAACGGCAUGCGCUCUCGAGCACCUGCGUCCGACUCCAGCCAUCUCAGCACUAUAUCUCGCGUGCACGCGCUCAUGUGGGAAAAACCUGUCGUUCUGUUUCUGCCUCGGGCUAAAGUAUUGCUAAAGAUUUUUCACAGAGUUCACUAUACUUUAAUUCUUUUCCCCCCUGUGUUUCUGAGGGUUUACUCGCCCUCAGUGAAACCAAACAGCUGUAUUGGUAAAUAAGUUUGACAAGUGAGGGAACUUUCAUUCUGUUGGGGUGGAAAAUAAACCAAAAACACUCAGUUUCUUACUUAUUUUUGGUUUUUGUUAGACACACGGAG